UACGAGUGCCUCAAGCGUUAUCCGGAUUCAUUGGGCGUAAAGGGUGCGUAGGUGGCGCUGUAAGUCGGGUGUGAAAUCCUGAGGCUUAACCUCGGAACUGCAUUCGAUACUGCGGCGCUUGAGGACUGGAGAGGAGACUGGAAUUCAUGGUGUAGCAGUGAAAUGCGUAGAGAUCAUGAGGAAGACCAGUGGCGAAGGCGGGUCUCUGGACAGUUCCUGACACUGAGACGCGAAAGCGUGGGGAGCGAACAGG
rnacentral:rRNA from 1 species